rnacentral:tRNA from 1 species
GGGGAUUUAGCUCAGUAGCAUAAGCGCCUGCCUUGCAAGCAGGUAGUACUGAGUUCAAUCCCUG